UCCAUUCAUCAAUUCCCUCCCAAAAUUUUCCCUUCCCCUAAAAACCUAAUCACCCGAUGAGAUCUGCCAAAACCAAACCCUCAAAUCUGAACAACACUUCCUGUCUUCUUCCCCAAGUUACACUAGCAUACAACCCUAAUCAGUUUCACUAUUAACGGAAAAUCUCCAUGGCCUACGCAGACCACGCCUUUUCUAUAUUUGACGAAUACAUCAUGAUGGACUCGGAUUCUGUUUACACCACACACAAUCGAACUCCGGUCAAGAAGAUCGCUCUCACCGUCUCACUUCUCCGCGUCAUCGGCAUCUUUUCCGGCAUAAUAAUGGUAGUUAAUUGCGUCCACGAUAACACAAGCACUGGCUAUUGUUGGUUCAAACGGUUGCAGUGGUGCUGGAGUCUUCCAUUGUCUUCAUAGCUUCAAACAUGGGCUCUUUUGCCACUUGACUGCAACAUAGAGCUUCUUGUUGUCCUAAAACAUGAAUUUGGGGUACAUGUCUUGUUUCUUGUUCACUUAUUGUGGUGCAGGAUAAGAUAAUGAUCGGUUGUUUAAAACUAGUCUUCUUUUGAUGUUGAUCAACUACUUAAUUUCCAGGUAACUAGAAAGCUGGCAGCAUUGAAGGGUUUAGAUGCAAGGAUUAGAGGCAAGGCUGAAGGAGAUGCGUGGGUAUCUAGACCUUGUAGGUGGCAAACUAUCAUUAAAUUAUGAAAUAAUGUACCAUCUACAGUGAAAACCAGUGACCAGAUGCUUGUAAUCCACCUUUCUUCUAUUAUCAAAAGCGUGACAGCUCUUCACAACUUGAUCAAUAAUAACUCUUCAUCAAUUAAUGACAGUUGACAACAUGUGAAGCAUGGGAUGAAUAGAGAUACCAACAUUCAUGGAUUGCUUAGAGCUAUUUUUAUAGUAAAAUUCCUACCCGAAAGAACACUUUGACUUCUCUUGUAAACAUUUGG